rnacentral:lncRNA from 1 species
GGCAAUUCUAGUUAGCUAUGUACCAGUACAAUUCUUGGUUUUCUGGGUUAUCUUUGUAGCCAGCACUGUAGCAGGUUCCUCUUUUCAAAGAAUUGGGGGCUAUCUCCUUUUUCAUUUACUAAUAACCAGUGGUAUCUUAUCUAAGCAUUUUGAUUUUAAUAGCAAUAAAUUACUUCUCUAUUGGAAAGAAAGGAGUAAAAGUUUGGCCCUUUGAAAGGAAGGGAUUCAUUCAAGCCUCCCUCUGAAAGUGAAAAAGAGAGAAAGAAAGAGAGAAAGAGAGAAAGACAGAGAGAAAGAAAAAAAAGGAGAGAAAAAAAAAAAGCAAGAGUGUUUCAAAUAUACACGGGACAUGCAGAGGAGCUCAGUGGCCUCUGAAACUAAAAAUAGGGAGGUAUUAUCAUGGCGUGCAUGGCAUCUAUAAGAUGCCAGUGAUCCCAAAAGGCGGCUGAAAUUUCCACGUGGUAAGAACAUUUUUAUGUAAUCUUGUGAUGUGUAAUUUUCAGUUAGUGAAGCUACAGUGAAAUAAGCACAAAUUUCAAUGUCUAGGACAAAAGAAGGGAAGAACCAGAACUCUGCACUUCACAGGAGGGGCAGUCUCAAGCAGAACUGAGGUUGUUCCAUUUCAUUCUUACAGAUGCUGAGCAACAGUUCCAUGCCUUUAUCACAGCACAAUGAUACAAAACAGGAGGCAGAGAAAUGCAGCAUUCCUAGAGAAAUGGGGUUCUUUGAAGCUCUGUAUAUCCAGGGCAACCAGAACACCUCCAAGUGGAACACAGGUAUCCUGCAAGGGCACCCACACCUAAGGACAGGAUUUCAUAGACACCAGCUGGAAGCAGUUUUACUGUCCGACAGCUACUUUGCAGGUAGUUCUUUUUAUCUGAAUGUUUUUCAAGUGUACUUCUAAUCUGGUGAUAAAUA